UACGGAGGGGGCUAGCGUUGUUCGGAAUUACUGGGCGUAAAGCGCACGUAGGCGGCUUUGUAAGUUAGAGGUGAAAGCCCGGGGCUCAACUCCGGAAUUGCCUUUAAGACUGCAUCGCUUGAACAUCGGAGAGGUGAGUGGAAUUCCGAGUGUAGAGGUGAAAUUCGUAGAUAUUCGGAAGAACACCAGUGGCGAAGGCGGCUCACUGGCCCAUAACUGACGCUGAGGCACGAAAGCGUGGGGAGCAAACAGG
rnacentral:rRNA from 1 species